rnacentral:rRNA from 1 species
CGGAACGGAUAAACGCUGAAGGCAUCUAAGCGUGAAGCCGACCUUAAGAUAAGAUAUCCCUUCGUAAGAGUAAGACCUCUCAUAGACUAUGAGUUUGAUAGGCUCAAAGUGUAAGCGUGGUGACACGUUCAGCUUGCGAGUACUAAUCGGUCGAGGGCUUUUCCUU